UCCCAAUGAAGAAACUUUCACACGUCUUACCCUCUGUCCUAGUCCCAGAGCCUGUAAAGGUGAACCCACUGGGACUGGCUGGGGGAGAAGAGGAA